rnacentral:rRNA from 1 species
GCUGCUCCUAGUACGAGAGGACCGGAGUGGACGAACCCCUGGUGUUCCGGUUGUGUCGCCAGACGCAUUGCCGGGUAGCUACGUUCGGACAGGAUAACCGCUGAAAGCAUCUAAGCGGGAAGCCCCUCCCAAGACUAGUUCUCCCUAACCCCCUUGAGGGUUCUUAAGAGCCGUCCAAGACUAGGACGUUGAUAGGCUGGGUGUGGAAGCGUUGUAAAGCGUUGAGCUAACCAGUACUAAUUGCUCGUGCGGCUUGACCAU